UCUGAGGAGAAGUGAAAGUUACUCCCUUUUGCUUUUUUCUUCUUCAGCAAUCACUCUUUAUCAUUGAAGUGAAUCUUGAGACUCUUUUGUGAGCCACCCACUUAUAACGACAUUAACUGACACACAACCCCGGAUCGCAGAUACAGUGCACAUUGACAGUUGACCCAAUGAGAGAUCUACACAGUGUAAAAAAACUGAAAGGAGAAGGUCACACUGCUUACCUCUUGUCUUCAGGUCUUUGCUACCAUGUAAUAGCAGGAUAUUAUGAAGAGGAGCACCCCAAACCUGAGAGACAGGGAGAGAGAGAAAGAGAAAGAGAAAGAGGAAGACCUGAGCCCUAGGACCAUGCCCCAGGACUACCUGACAUGAUGACUCCUUGCUGUCCCCAGUCCACCUGACCGUGCUGCUGCUCCAGUUUCAACUGUUCUGCCUUAUUAUUAUUCGACCAUGCUGGUCAUUUAUGAACAUUUGAACAUCUUGUCCAUGUUCUGUUAUAAUCUCCACCCGGCACAGCCAGAAGAGGACUGGCCACCCCACAUAGCCUGGUUCCUCUCUAGGUUUCUUCCUAGGUUUUGGCCUUUCUAGGUAGUUUUUCCUAGCCACCGUGCUUCUACACUUGCAUUGCUUGCUGUUUGGGGUUUUAGGCUGGGUUUCUGUACAGCACUUUGAGAUAUCAGCUGAUGUACGAAGGGCUAUAUAAAUACAUUUGAUUUGAUUUGAUUCGAAAACUAAAUUACAGGCACAGACUGUGUGUGGAAAAUUAUUUAAGACUAAUACUCUCUCCAAUACAACCCAACGUUGCAGAGUUAUGUGCAUCCUUUCAAGCACACCCUUCUCAUUAACCUGUGGUGAGUUAUUACAUUUUUAAUGAACAAAUUAAGUUUUAUAUGUAAGAUGGCUAAAUAAAGAUCAAAAUUAUUGAUUAUAA